GUUGGGGGCAAGCGUUAUCCGGAUUUACUGGGUGUAAAGGGUGCGUAGGUGGCAGGGCAAGUCAGAAGUGCAAACCCGGGGCUCAACUCCGGGACUGCUUUUGAAACUGUCCAGCUAGAGUGCAGGAGAGGUAAGCGGAAUUCCUAGUGUAGCGGUGAAAUGCGUAGAUAUUACGAAGAACUCCGAUUGCGAAGGCAGCUCACUGGAGCGCAACUGACGCUGAAGCUCGAAAGUGCGGGUAUCGAACAGGAUUAGAUACCCUGGUAGUCCGCACGGUAAACGAUGGAUGCCCGCUGUUGGUCUGAACAGGUCAGCGGCCAAGCGAAAGCAUUAAGCAUCCCACCUGAGGAGU
rnacentral:rRNA from 1 species